rnacentral:rRNA from 1 species
UACGUAGGUGGCAAGCGUUGUCCGGAAUUAUUGGGCGUAAAGCGCGCGCAGGUGGUCCUUUAAGUCUGAUGUGAAAGCCCACGGCUCAACCGUGGAGGGUCAUUGGAAACUGGGGGGACUUGAGUGCAGGAGAGAAAAGUGGAAUUCCACGUGUAGCGGUGAAAUGCGUAGAGAUGUGGAGGAACACCAGUGGCGAAGGCGACUUUUUGGCCUGUAACUGACACUGAGGCGCGAAAGCGUGGGGAGCAAACAGG